CAGCUUGGUGGACUUGAAGAUCAAAAUCAGAGAGCUCCCUCUUGAUGGAAGGAGACUGCUCAUGCUCGUCUUCUCCUUCAUAAGCUUCCUCCACUUCAGUUUUAGCAGGACUCUCAUGAUUCAUAAUCCUCACAUUUCCCCUUGAAUUCUUCUGCACACCAAAGGGUACCGUGACAUCAAGGGUGGCCGGCUUCAAAUCACGACGCUCUGAUGAAAUCUUCGGGUGCUGUAUUUCGCCAAGUUGAGCUUUAAGGUCCCCGGUUGCAGACCCUUCAGCAGCACCCUGAAGAAAUAAACAAAGCAGUAAAAAAGGAGAGACACCUGCACAAGGCCAUGACAAAAGAUAAAGCUUGUUCUGAAUCCUUUUUAUAAUUCUAUUCAAUCUUCUUUGCGCAUUCCAACUUCGUACGAUUCCUAUAAUCCUAUUGCCGCUCACAUCUUGUCUGACUCAAAUAUAGCGGUAACAUUGAAGCAAGAGUGAUUCAAAAGUUAGCCAUAAUCGAUGGGAAGAAGCAGAACAAGAAAUAGAAGCCUGUCCACACAAAGCCGCGAACCACAGAAGGAAGGACCGACACCUUCAACACUUGGUGAAAAUAUUGCUAGAGAGUUGGCCAGAGUUGUAGUAUAUGACGCUACUCCUCAAAACUCCACGAAUAUUUGUCUUUUGAAAUAGACCUAAGCAGUGGAAGAAGACCAACCAACCAUUCAAAAAUUCAGAUAAACAAUGUAUGCCAAUCAACUAAAACUUGCAGUACAAGAAUAAAUUCUUAGAAACAAUAUUUAUAUACGA